GUGGCGGUUGCGCCGCGGCGAAGCCGUCUCGGCUGUGGCCGCCGACGAAGGGUGGUCAUCGGCGGAGGUGUUCUCGCGCGCCUUCCGCCGCAC
rnacentral:tRNA from 1 species